AGCGAACGCUGGCGGCAGGCCUAACACAUGCAAGUCGAACGAAGUCUUCGGACUUAGUGGCGGACGGGUGAGUAACACGUGGGAACGUGCCCUUUGGUACGGAAUAACUCCGGGAAACUUGAGCUAAUACCGUAUGUGCCCUUCGGGGGACAGAUUUAUCGCCAUUGGAGCGGCCCGCGUCUGAUUAGCUAGUUGGUGAGGUAAAGGCGCACCAAGGCGACGAUCAGUAGCUGGUCUGAGAGGAUGAUCAGCCACAUUGGGACUGAGACACGGCCCAAACUCCUACGGGAGGCAGCAGUGGGGAAUAUUGGACAAUGGGGGCAACCCUGAUCCAGCCUUGCCGCGUGAGUGAAGAAGGCCUUCGGGUUGUAAAGCUCUUUCGACUGGGACGAUGAUGACGGUACCCGUAUAAGAAGCCCCGGCUAACUUCGUGCCAGCCGCCGCCGUAACAC
rnacentral:rRNA from 1 species